rnacentral:tRNA from 1 species
AGCGGGAUGGCUCAACGGUAGAGCGACCGGCUGUUAACCGGCAAGUUCCAGGUUCGAAUCCUGGUCCCGCUG